rnacentral:rRNA from 1 species
GAUGAACGCGGCGGCGUGCCUAACACAUGCAAGUCGAGCGAGGGUUUGCUCAGUAUUGAGUAUUCUAAGACUAGAAUGUUCAAUUCUGAGCAAAACCAAGCGGCGGACGGGUGAGUAACGCGUGGGUAACCUGCCCUAUACACAUGGAUAACAUACUGAAAAGUUUACUAAUACAUGAUAAUAUAUAUUUGUGGCAUCGCAGAUAUAUCAAAGUGUUAGCGGUAUAGGAUGGACCCGCGUCUGAUUAGCUAGUUGGUGAGAUAACUGCCCAUCAAGGCGACGAUCAGUAGCCGACCUGAGAGGGUGAUCGGCCACAUUGGAACUGAGACACGGUCCAAACUCCUACGGGAGGCAGCAGUGGGGAAUAUUGCACAAUGGGCGAAAGCCUGAUGCAGCAACGCCGCGUGAACGAUGAAGGUCUUCGGAUCGUAAAGUUCUGUUGCAGGGGAAGAUAAUGACGGUACCCUGUGAGGAAGCCCCGGCUAACUACGUGCCAGCAGCCGCGGUAAUACGUAGGGGGCUAGCGUUAUCCGGAUUUACUGGGCGUAAAGGGUGCGUAGGUGGUCCUUCAAGUCGGUGGUUAAAGGCUACGGCUCAACCGUAGUAAGCCGCCGAAACUGGAGGACUUGAGUGCAGGAGAGGAAAGUGGAAUUCCCAGUGUAGCGGUGAAAUGCGUAGAUAUUGGGAGGAACACCAGUAGCGAAGGCGGCUUUCUGGACUGCAACUGACACUGAGGCACGAAAGCGUGGGUAGCAAACAGG